AAAAUGUUUCCACCUGGUCUUACACCAAAGCACUACGCCCACUUUGAAGACAGAGAAAUAGUUAGACUAGGACACCUUUACCCCAAUGGUAAGCUCCUACAAUACGCAGAUGUUCCCAACUCGGAAUCAUUAACUACCUAUGACUACUUUCGAUACCUCCAACUCCGUAGCUUUGCAGCAACAGACACGGUUCGCAUGGCAGCCACCUCGACCCUGACAGGGUUCGAGAGGGACACUCUCCACUCCCCGGCCAGAAAGAGCCAAAUAUCAAACCUCUACACAGCCCUAACCACACAUCACACCCAAAUAGCACUACCAUACAUCGCAGCAUGGGAGAGAGACUUGGGGCCCCCUGAGGACCCCACCGACUGG